rnacentral:rRNA from 1 species
AGAGUUUGAUCCUGGCUCAGAUUGAACGCUGGCGGCAGGCCUAACACAUGCAAGUCGAACGGUAGCACAGAGGAGCUUGCUCCUUGGGUGACGAGUGGCGGACGGGUGAGUAAUGUCUGGGAAACUGCCCGAUGGAGGGGGAUAACUACUGGAAACGGUAGCUAAUACCGCAUAACGUCGCAAGACCAAAGAGGGGGACCUUCGGGCCUCUUGCCAUCGGAUGUGCCCAGAUGGGAUUAGCUAGUAGGUGGGGUAACGGCUCACCUAGGCGACGAUCCCUAGCUGGUCUGAGAGGAUGACCAGCCACACUGGAACUGAGACACGGUCCAGACUCCUACGGGAGGCAGCAGUGGGGAAUAUUGCACAAUGGGCGCAAGCCUGAUGCAGCCAUGCCGCGUGUAUGAAGAAGGCCUUCGGGUUGUAAAGUACUUUCAGCGAGGAGGAAGGUGUUGUGGUUAAUAACCGCAGCAAUUGACGUUACUCGCAGAAGAAGCACCGGCUAACUCCGUGCCAGCAGCCGCGGUAAUACGGAGGGUGCAAGCGUUAAUCGGAAUUACUGGGCGUAAAGCGCACGCAGGCGGUCUGUCAAGUCGGAUGUGAAAUCCCCGGGCUCAACCUGGGAACUGCAUCCGAAACUGGCGGGCUAGAGUCUUGUAGAGGGGGGUAGAAUUCCAGGUGUAGCGGUGAAAUGCGUAGAGAUCUGGAGGAAUACCGGUGGCGAAGGCGGCCCCCUGGACAAAGACUGACGCUCAGGUGCGAAAGCGUGGGGAGCAAACAGAAUUAGAUACCCUGGUAGUCCACGCCGUAAACGAUGUCGACUUGGAGGUUGUGCCCUUGAGGCGUGGCUUCCGGAGCUAACGCGUUAAGUCGACCGCCUGGGGAGUACGGCCGCAAGGUUAAAACUCAAAGGAAUUGACGG